CGCAUACGUUAAAAGCUAAAUACUAUAUUGAAACUGACUUUCUCAAUGUAGGAUUAGGGAGUAUACCUUCAUAUACUUGACGAAAUAUUUGGGCUUCAAAAGGAAUUCUACAGGAUGGAAUGUGGUGGUGAGUGGGAACAAGUACUAACAUCUCAAUUACGAAGGCUACUUGGGUUCUAGGCUUUUGUUAAUUACAAAGUAUGAAUGAGUGAUCUUAUCCCAGAUUCAAUGAUGGUGGCAGAUUUAAUUGAAAGGGAUUCAAGGCAGUGGAAUGAAGGGCUAAUUCAUAAUACCUUUUCUAAGAUUGAUGCUGAAAGAAUUUUAAGAAUUCCUUUGGUGAGGAUUGCACAUGAGGAUUUUCAAGUGUGGAAAGGAGAGGUCUCUGGUGACUAUUCUGUCCGCAGUGCUUAUAAAUUGCUUCUACAACAAUCAAUGGACCCUAACCUUCUACUUGAACAGACAACAUACAGACAGUUUUACAAAAAAUUAUGGGGCCUACAACUACCCACCAAAUUGAAAAUUACAUUCUGGAGAUGCUCGAAGAAUUAUAUCCCUACUCUAUGUAAUUUAUAUUACAAGCGGUUAUCAAACGAAACUGUUUGUUCUAAAUGUGCAGAUUCAACAGAGACUUUAAAGCAUGCUUUUAGGGACUGCCCUGCGAUCAAGGAGAUUUGGCGACAAUUACAAUGUGCAUGGCUUAGCUAAUUUGAAAAUCUGUGUUUUCUGGAUUGGGUUACCUGGUUCUUUGAAAAUUUCAGGGCUAGUGAUUCAGGGUGCAAAUGGAAGAGUCCUGGGUUCUAGAACUGUUCUCAAUGAUAACAUAAUUCGGUUUUUACAGCAGAGGCCCUGACUUGUAUUUAAUGUCUUCAAAUGGGACUGGAUUUGGGUUUCACUACCGUGGAGAUAGAAGGUGAUGCCUUGUCUGUCAUAAAAAAAGCACAGCAGAAGGAUAAUGACAAAUAAAAAAUCCAUGCCUACAUAAAAGACUGUCAAGGACUUAGCAGGAGUUUUCAAAUAUGCAAGUUCAAAUACGGGGAAUGUUAAAAAAUGGAGUGGCUCAUCUACUUGCGACGGAGGGUUUGAGACAAAAGAAACAUUGGAAUAUGAGCGGAGGAGUACCUAUUUUUGUAGAAGAGGAGGUCGAGAGAGAACGAUUAUGCAGCUUGCCGAUCUGAUGGGUGAGUAAUCUGUCAUGAAAAUUGGAGAGAUGGGGGAUCUAAAGAGAUGAAGGAAGCAGAUGAACAGUUCUUGAAACUUUGAAAAGAGAAACAAUUAAAGUUGGAAGCUUUUUCUGAUUGUGUUUUCAGGAGUCGUGCUAAUAUUAA
rnacentral:lncRNA from 1 species